CAAACUAGAACAGCCACUAUGCCUGUUUCCUCCCUUCAUUCGAACCAAUAUGGCUCCCUGAGCGGCGCAGUUUCCCAUACGGUAGUUUUCGCUAUGGGUAGCUGAUUAAUCCUAACCGCACGUUUUCAAGCUUCGGUAGGAUACCGAGGACACCCAAAGGAUGGCACGGGUGGUGUUCCUCCAUCCGGACCUCGGUAUUGGUGGAGCUGAGCGACUAGUGGUUGAUGCUGCUGUUGCUUUGAAAUCUAAGGGAUGCAGUGUUCAGAUCUGGACGGCUCACUAUGACCCAACACACUGCUUUUCGGAAACCCUGGACCCAGAUCUGCCAGUGGUCUGUGUGGGUGACUGGCUCCCCACCAGUGUGUUUGGCUACCUACAUGCUCUGUGUGCAUACCUGAGGAUGAUCUACGUGGCCUUGUACCUCAUCUUUCUUAGUGGGUUGGAGUAUGAUGUCAUCUUCUGUGAUCAGGUGUCAGUGUGUAUCCCAGUGCUGCGACUGUCCCGUCACAGGAAGAAGGUUUUGUUUUACUGUCACUUCCCAGACCAGCUGCUGACCCAGAAGAAGUCGAUUCUAAAGAAGCUGUACAGAGCUCCUAUUGACUGGCUGGAGGAACGCACCACAGGAAUGGCUGAUAUGAUUCUAGUAAAUAGCAACUUCACUGCUGGCAUCUUCAGGGAGACUUUUCACAGUCUCAGCAGUGUGCAGACGGACGUCCUCUACCCUUCACUCAACACACUAACCUUCGACCAACCGCGUGCUGACGCUCAGGGCCUAGAUGGGCUGCUUCCUGAGAAAACCUCCUGUGUGUUUCUGUCUCUGAACAGAUAUGAGAGAAAGAAGAACCUGAGCUUGGCUCUGGAGGCUCUGGCAGCCCUAGAGAACAGCCUCCCUACGGCCCAGAGUGCAGGCAUUCACCUUGUGAUGGCAGGAGGCUACGAUGACAGAGUUACUGAAAAUGUUCAACAUUACACUGAAUUAAAGGAGCUGGCCUCAAAGCUCCACCUGGAGAAAUCUGUCGCCUUCCUGCGUUCACCUUCUGAUUCUCUGAAGGUGGCGCUGCUGCGGGGCAGCACGGCCGUGCUCUACACCCCAAGCAGAGAGCAUUUUGGGAUAGUGCCUGUAGAGGCCAUGUACUGCUGCUGCCCUGUCAUUGCUGUGAACUCUGGAGGUCCGCUGGAGAGCGUGGCAGAUGGUGAAACUGGCUUCUUGUGUGAACCCACAGCCGAGGCCUUCGCUAAGGCCAUGGAGAGACUGAUCAAGGAGCCGAAACUGCGCAGAGACAUGGGUGAGGCUGGGAGGAGAAGAGUACAAGAUAAGUUCUCUUUACAGGCCUUCUCAGACCAGCUGUACGGCUACAUCUGCAGACUGAGCCAGUGAUGUGAGAACUGGAUCAGGGGGAGAAAAAGAAUCCCACUGGAACUGUUCGUGCAGUUUGAGCUCCGUGAUACGCUGGAUGCAGACUUUGGUUUGCUUCAGAACGCGAUCACCAUUGGACUUUGGAACCAUUUGCUGCAGGAGGCUGCGACAGGCUUUCUGGGUCAUGUUCUCAUCUAGAGACGGGAAAUUACCACGACAAACAACUGUGAGAAAAAUGUGCAGAGAGCAGAACUACAGCACGACGACGUCUGAGUGCGAGCAAACACUUCAUCAGCACAAUGGAUCCUUUCUGCCUUUGGUACACAAGAGACCCCAACAGACGACACGCACCGACCAAAGAAGCAGACAGAUCCAGGCAUGCACUCUUUAGCAGCUGUUCAUCUGAAUGGAUCCAGCGGCCAUUGUUCGCCUGUCACUGACUCGUCUCUCAGGCCCAGGAGACACACCACUGACAUUUACCAGAGUGCCCUCCCCCUGUUCCCCCUCACCCACCCACCCACCCACCACACUCCCACCUUGAGGCGUGUCUCAUCCCCUCUACGCUCCGCUCCCUCCGUCUCCUCCCCUCUCCCGUCUUGUCCCCUCUUUAUGCAUCUCUCCGCGGCCUGGUGUGCAAGAACCAACGUGUGAGGAUAUGUGUGUGAGACAGAGUGAGUGUUUGUGUUAAUGAGUGGCCCUUUAAGGCUAAUAAGAUAAGAUUGGUACGUCCAGAGUCCCUCAUUACCCAGCAAGCACCGCUCCCUUCGUGGAAUGGUAAUUGGCAAGGGGGCAGUGGGGUUGGGUGUGGGGGUAGGAGGAAAGUUGUUGAGGGAGCGAAGAGUCAAAAAAGUUAAAAUAAAAUGAGGAUAAAUGUGCGAUAAUUGGGAGGUUUGAAAAGAAGAGGAGAGAUUGAUCGGGUGCCCGGGUGUUUGCAGACAGAGACAGUAUAAAUACAGGGGGUUAAAGGUCACACAUUCAUAUGUACAGACACGUUUGUGCACAGAAGUGAGACAAAGCAGCAUGCAUGAGUAGAUUCUCUCCAGAACAGCAGCCUUUCAAAGGUAAACUUUAAAGGGUGGAUGCACACAUGCAUCCAGGCCUGCAGGAACAUGUGAAAUAAAAUAAAAUAAAAUAAAAUAAAAUAAAAUAAAA